rnacentral:tRNA from 1 species
GCCUGGGUGGCUGAGUCGGUUAAGCGUCCGACUUCGGCUCAGGUCAUGAUCUCACAGUUUGUGGGUUCGAGUCCCGCAUCGGGCU